AAAAAAUCAUCAAAUGGUGACAACUUGGUGAGAAUUAGCAGGAAUACUAUCAGUUUUGAAAAGGAGAAGAGAGAAGACGGGAGGACCAAGGUGCCUCGUCCUAUACUGAUGUGCUACUGUUGUUACACUAGCGAGUGGCGAUGGGAUCUGCCUCUAUUACUUUACUGGAUCGGCUGACUGACUGGCGAUGGAGGUACCAAAUUUUCUUUCAUUAUACGUGUGGUUCAGUGUAGCAUUUUUUUAUCUAUGACUCUUAAAUUGGCCAGUAGAAAGGCGUCAAAUGCAGACGCUUUAAAGGAAUCUUCCAUGGAAUAAGCUUUUAGUGUUUUAGCACAGCUCACUGGUCCUUGGUUAUCACUAUAGGGAAAUGUUACUUCCUGGAAAGGUAUCUUGCAUUCAUAUGUCAUGAAUCUUCAUAUGGACCAUCUUUGUGACACUGGCGAAAACAUUCUAUUUUAGUGAGGGAGCUGUUAGACUAUAAACCUGAGAUAUAUGUCAUAUGAUAGAGAAGCAGUUAAUGAAUCUUUAAUCAGCUGAAGGCAUACUUUAUGAACAUUUGGAAGCUCAUUGAAGGGGCCGAGAUAAACUUUUUUGGCUCCUGCAUAAGAAGGGUAUGAUCCAAAAUCAAUUGUUGGACAAGUAUGUCGUGGAUUUUGGGAUCUGAGACGUUCACAUGCUACAUCUUUCUAAGGCUCCCAUCCCAUUGAAGAUAAAAAAUUCCUUCGGCUUGGCUUUCAUGGCGAAACUCAAGUGUUGAACGCCUUCUCGACGGUAGCUUGCUCCGUGAUCCUAGAUUUGAGGUUUGUGGUAUUCGUGAAGCCAUGAUAACUUAUUGUUUUUCCUCUACUGAUGUAAGAGUAACUUGAUUGGGCAUCAGCUUCAUAUCUUAUACGCUGGUGAUGAAGAUAGAAGUGUCAUCGGUUAAAGAUUCUUGAUGCAUGUAUACUGAAUGCUAUCAGCAGUACACGCAAGGGCAUGGUAAUUCCAGAGGAGAAGCCCAUUUUAGACUGAAGGCAGAGCAAAAAGAAGCUUAUCAUGUUGCUCCCUCGCCUUUGAUGAUAUGGAAGCUGGAAAUUCGGCCCUUCCUUCAGUACAAAAUUAUUUUGAUGUUGAUUGACAUUGCUUUCUCACGUUCCACACACACACAUACAAACACAUAUUUUUACCAUAUAAUUUAGUUAUUAUAGCACCACAUCA